AAUACAGUGCCUGAUUUAAAAGGGUAGCUUUGAUAGAGCUAAUCAUGUAAAUUAUUUACCUGUAUUA
rnacentral:tRNA from 1 species